rnacentral:lncRNA from 1 species
ACUCGCAUCCUCCGCUUCGAAAAAAUACUCGACGUGUUGGCGGAAGGCAAUUUUUCAGGAGAAACUAUACCCGAAGACCCCCAAGGUUUACGGUCGGGGCUCUUUCACUAUGCGACGCUUCCAUACGACGAACUACUUUCAAGGACAUGUAUCUAACGAGGAGUGCAGAAAGUCCCACGAGUUCAUUCGCUGUUGGAAGCCAGGAGUGGAAGAAAAUAUCACAGUGUCGAAAUCGUGAUUUUUCACGUUUCUGCAACGAGCACGGAAAGCCUUGGAAACUGAUGUGUCUUUGGAAG